UGGGAAGCCAGCCGCCAUCUUGUGGAGACACUUGGGCAGCCCACUGGGGAACUGAGGCCUCCUGCCCACAGCCCCAUGUGAGUGAGCCAUCUGGAAAGGGGGUCUUCCAGUCUACCAAGCCUUCAGAUGGCUUCAGCCCUGGCUGACAUCUUAACUGCACCCUCACGAGAGACCUUGAGCCAGAAUAACCCAGCUGAGCCUCUCCCAAGUUCCUAAGCCACAGAAACGGAGUUAUUCCAGUAGGUGGAAUAUAUUGUCAGGCUUGGCCAUGGGACUUGCUUUGGCCAAUGGAAUGUGAGUGGACAUGAUUUACGCUGUGUCUGAGCAGAAGCUUUCAAUGAUACUGCAUCACCUGGCGGCACCUCUUGCCUUCCUGCCUUCUGCCAGAAGAUCGGCGCGGCCCAGAUGCUGGCUGCUCCUUCGCCCUGAGUCCUGGAGUGAGAAGACAUGGAGCAGAGCUGAGCAGAGAUGCAGCUGAGCUGCACGCCUGAGUGCAAGGAAUAAACCUACUUGCUGUCAGCCACUGAGAUUUUGGAGGUGCUCGUUACAGCAAAAUGCUGACUAAUACAUUGGUUCUCUAGUCCUGGGGUAGGAAGAGUCCAACGGGCCAGUUGGGUCAUGGGCCCACUCCUUGGCUUGAGGAGGGCAGGAGACUUUGAUUUUCAGCCACCCAAGAUGGCAUAGUGCAGGACGCCUGGCCGGGGAGUGUGCGAUGGGAUUUCGCUUUUCCCGGGGAAGCUGGAGAGGAUGCAACCGACAGCUCGGGGCGCGGAGGAGGAGGCAGUGGCGGGGAUCCGGGCUGGCUGCCUCCCGAGUCUGUGCGUCGCACUGAGGCACCGGGCUGUCUCAACAGUAGCUCUGGCUGCAAAGUGAUCCGCCCAAGAAAACUUUUACUUUCAAGAGUUGGUGUCACACCUAGAAGAACUCAAGUGACAGCAGUUGUUCUGAUUGGGUGGGUCAUCCCAGGAUCUCAGGAGUCUUCGAGAUGCUUUAUCAAUGAGGGAAAUAAGUACACUUUCAGAGCCCCAUGUUACGAAGUGUGGACUGGCUAGAUAAUGCUCCCCUAGGGCUAAUGCUGCUCCAGCCCUGGC
rnacentral:lncRNA from 1 species